rnacentral:rRNA from 1 species
UACGAACCGUGCGAGCGUUGUUCGGAUUCACUGGGCUUAAAGGGCGCGUAGGCGGUCGACCAAGUCUGGGGUGAAAUCUUUUGGCUCAACCGGAAAAGUGCCCCCGAUACUGGCCGGCUAGAGGGAGAUAGGGGCAUGCGGAACUUCCGGUGGAGCGGUGAAAUGCGUAGAUAUCGGAAGGAACGCCGGUGGCGAAAGCGGCGUGCUGGAUCUCUUCUGACGCUGAGGCGCGAAAGCCAGGGGAGCAAACGGG